AUGAACGCUAGCUACAGGCUUAACACAUGCAAGUCGAGGGGCAUCAGGAAGAAAGCUUGCUUUCUUUGCUGGCGACCGGCGCACGGGUGAGUAACACGUAUCCAACCUGCCCUUUACUCGGGGAUAGCCUUUCGAAAGAAAGAUUAAUACCCGAUAGCAUAAUGAUUCCGCAUGGUUUCAUUAUUAAAGGAUUCCGGUAAAGGAUGGGGAUGCGUUCCAUUAGGUUGUUGGUGAGGUAACGGCCCACCAAGCCUUCGAUGGAUAGGGGUUCUGAGAGGAAGGUCCCCCACAUUGGAACUGAGACACGGUCCAAACUCCUACGGGAGGCAGCAGUGAGGAAUAUUGGUCAAUGGGCGCUAGCCUGAACCAGCCAAGUAGCGUGAAGGAUGAAGGCUCUAUGGGUCGUAAACUUCUUUUAUAUAAGAAUAAAGUGCAGUAUGUAUACUGUUUUGUAUGUAUUAUAUGAAUAAGGAUCGGCUAACUCCGUGCCAACAGCCGCGGUAAUACGGAGGAUCCGAGCGUUAUCCGGAUUUAUUGGGUUUAAAGGGAGCGUAGGUGGACUGGUAAGUCAGUUGUGAAAGUUUGCGGCUCAACCGUAAAAUUGCAGUUGAUACUGUCAGUCUUGAGUACAGUAGAGGUGGGCGGAAUUCGUGGUGUAGCGGUGAAAUGCUUAGAUAUCACGAAGAACUCCGAUUGCGAAGGCAGCUCACUGGACUGCAACUGACACUGAUGCUCGAAAGUGUGGGUAUCAAACAGGAUUAGAUACCCUGGUAGUCCACACAGUAAACGAUGAAUACUCGCUGUUUGCGAUAUACAGUAAGCGGCCAAGCGAAAGCAUUAAGUAUUCCACCUGGGGAGUACGCCGGCAACGGUGAAACUCAAAGGAAUUGACGGGGGCCCGCACAAGCGGAGGAACAUGUGGUUUAAUUCGAUGAUACGCGAGGAACCUUACCCGGGCUUAAAUUGCAGUGGAAUGAUGUGGAAACAUGUCAGUGAGCAAUCACCGCUGUGAAGGUGCUGCAUGGUUGUCGUCAGCUCGUGCCGUGAGGUGUCGGCUUAAGUGCCAUAACGAGCGCAACCCUUAUCUUUAGUUACUAACAGGUUAUGCUGAGGACUCUAGAGAGACUGCCGUCGUAAGAUGUGAGGAAGGUGGGGAUGACGUCAAAUCAGCACGGCCCUUACGUCCGGGGCUACACACGUGUUACAAUGGGGGGUACAGAAGGCAGCUAGCGGGUGACCGUAUGCUAAUCCCAAAAUCCUCUCUCAGUUCGGAUCGAAGUCUGCAACCCGACUUCGUGAAGCUGGAUUCGCUAGUAAUCGCGCAUCAGCCACGGCGCGGUGAAUACGUUCCCGGGCCUUGUACACACCGCCCGUCAAGCCAUGGGAGCCGGGGGUACCUGAAGUACGUAACCGCAAGGAUCGUCCUAGGGUAAAACUGGUGACUGGGGCU
rnacentral:rRNA from 1 species